rnacentral:lncRNA from 1 species
CCCAAUACACCACCUAAUUACAUACCAAAAAAAUUAAACCUAAAACCCAACUACAAAAUAGCCCAAACCCGAAUUUCCUAAUACCCAAUAAGGCCCAAACCAUUGACCCACAUACCUAGCCCUAAAACAUUUUCAAAACAAAACCCUAAAACAACUAUCUGCCUCAGCCGCCGCUAGCCACGUACUAAGCUUUCCGCGCG